CCCGCCACUAUGGCAGUCUUCAACAUGACUGACUAUAAUCCAGUGGAGGCUCAGAGUGACCCAGCUUUUAGGAAACGGAACUGCCCAAACAAGUGGGCAACUCUGUGCCGUAAAGUCAGGAACAUUA